ensembl:piRNA 21ur-876 ncRNA
UUCCUGCCAUACCUUUACAAC